GCGCUCACUUCAGCAGCACAUACACUAAGAUUGGAAUGAUGCAGAGAAGAUUAGCAUGGCCCUUGUGCAAAGAUGACAUGCAAAUUUGUGAAGCAUUCCAUAUUUUU
rnacentral:snRNA from 1 species